CAAGUCGAGCGGAUGACGGGAGCUUGCUCCUUGAUUCAGCGGCGGACGGGUGAGUAAUGCCUAGGAAUCUGCCUGGUAGUGGGGGACAACGUUUCGAAAGGAACGCUAAUACCGCAUACGUCCUACGGGAGAAAGCAGGGGACCUUCGGGCCUUGCGCUAUCAGAUGAGCCUAGGUCGGAUUAGCUUGUUGGUGAGGUAAUGGCUCACCAAGGCGACGAUCCGUAACUGGUCUGAGAGGAUGAUCAGUCACACUGGAACUGAGACACGGUCCAGACUCCUACGGGAGGCAGCAGUGGGGAAUAUUGGACAAUGGGCGAAAGCCUGAUCCAGCCAUGCCGCGUGUGUGAAGAAGGUCUUCGGAUUGUAAAGCACUUUAAGUUGGGAGGAAGGGCAGUAAGCUAAUACCUUGCUGUUUUGACGUUACCGACAGAAUAAGCACCGGCUAACUCUGUGCCAGCAGCCGCGGUAAUACAGAGGGUGCAAGCGUUAAUCGGAAUUACUGGGCGUAAAGCGCGCGUAGGUGGUUUGUUAAGUUGGAUGUGAAAGCCCCGGGCUCAACCUGGGAACUGCAUCCAAAACUGGCAAGCUAGAGUACGGUAGAGGGUGGUGGAAUUUCCUGUGUAGCGGUGAAAUGCGUAGAUAUAGGAAGGAACACCAGGGGCGAAGGCGACCACCUGGACUGAUACUGACACUGAGGUGCGAAAGCGUGGGGAGCA
rnacentral:rRNA from 1 species